GUGCCAUUUACUCUGGAACAAGAGCAGAGCGUCCAUGCAGGUGCGCAUUCCGCAAAAAUGAAGGGCUAUUUUCGCAGCAAGUCAGGUGCCUGGAAUUCGGCCCAGUCAACUAUUCCAGUCUUCGACGGUUUUCCCGGAGGUCCUCGCAACUACGGGUUUCGGUCCGGCUUCACCGUCGACAUUGACGUUCGCCCCGACCUCCGCAGAUGCUGUUGCUGUCCCUCAUUGGGCUGGACGAAUGCAGCCCACAGCCACGCUGAGGCCGCCGCCGCCACUACCGCCACGAGCAAGGAUUGCUGCCCUGUGAGCUUCUCACCAUCUGCUCUACGGAAACAAUGGGUCGCAGCAGCCACAGCCAUCAACUUCGACAGAAGCACUGCUCAAAAAGCGCACUCUCGGCGACGAAGCCAUUGGUGGCCUGACCAUCGCAUUCAUCACUCUGGGUUUGUGCGCCUUUCUCUGGCUUGUGACUGCAGCCACGUUGAGCAGCCAAGCCACAGGGUUGGGCUCGCAAUCAGGCGGCGUCCAGGGAGAAGCCGUGCUCCACUUAGAGAACAGCGCGGCGCCCAUGCCAUCAAUCAGGAUCGGCGUUGAACCUGGAAGCUCCGAUGUGAUUUUGCCAAAGACAAAAGAUUCGAGUCUAACGGAGACUUCGGCUACAUCUAAAUACGACGAGGUCUCGGGUGAGGCAGAACAAGACAUCGACGCCGGCCCGACUCGCCAGGCAGACUCUGUCGUCCAGGGCGAACCUUCCGAAGGCGUUUCGACAUUGAAGACCACUGGAUGGAGCAUAAAGCGUGCCAGGCGAGUCGAGUCCAACACGAGAGGCUCGGGUAAACCUAAGAGGCGGCACAAGCUUUACCCGAGGCCCCAUAUUCACCGCAGGAAAACCACUCGAGCUCCGGCUGGAGUUAACGACGCAUCUCGAGCACCUGCUGACAAGCUAGCGGGAUUUAAUUUAUUGGUGCCGGCAGAAGACCUUUACUCAUGACUCCCAUGGACUGUCUCGCCGUUUGUUUCGUAACACGUAAUGUCUAGUUCAUUAUAAAAAACAAAUUGAGUGAA